CCCAGCCUUAGUGGGGUCCAUUAUAUAACCUUUUCCUACAAGACUAGCCACACGUUUUUUCAUCUAUCAUGCUUAUAAACUCUACCAGGUGGAAAUGCAACUGAGCUGUUCUUAGAAGUUUUACAUCCAAAUUAUCAUAUUGAAAUGAUAUGGUUUAGUUUUAGACUUUUAGUCGCUGGUUAAUCUCUUAUCAUCAUCUCUACUUUUCUAGUCGUACUGCAUAGCUUUCUUGCAAAUGCCGGGAACCAUCCAAGUUUCAGUUCUGGAUUUCAAGGGUCUCCAAUCAACAUCACCAUCUUCACAAUCAGUAAAAGUUUCCAUGGGAAAAACAGAGUACCAGACUUGCGACAAGGGAGAAUUCUUGUUUCCCUUGACAACCCUUCAUGACAAUUUGAUUAUAACACUUCAAGGUGCCGACGGGAAUGAGAUUACGCAUGCAGUAGUUGAGACCAAAUUGGUGGUUGAGAAAGGUGUUUGGGACAACAUAUUUUCUCUCGAAGGAGGUUGGCACGUACAUAUGAAGUUGCAGUUUGUCCUCAGUGAAGAAGAGCACCAGAGAAUCCGAGUAAUGAGAGAAGCUGCACUAAAGAAGAAACACGAAGAGCUUUGCAAAAGUGGUCAUGGAAGUCCCGAACGUGCUUCCAUCGGUUACAGUGAAGUUUCAGGUCCAGUAGAAAGUUUAUCCCGAAGUGGAUUGCUAGCCGAUGAAGAUACCAAAUUCGACAGAAGUUAUCCUAUUCAGAAGCAAAAGAACACAGAUACAGUUCCUCUAGAACUAGAGAAUGUUAAUACCUCCAAGAAGCAGGGACCAGCUGUGAAAGCCCAUAGCAAUAUAAAGAAAAUGAUAAGUGCAUUUGAGGGUAGUCUAAACCAGGAUGUGAAACCUUCUGCUAAACCACCGCCAACAAUAUCUCGGACAAGGAAGAUUGGAAUAGCAAAUUCACAUCUUAAUGAUGUUGAGACAGAAAAAAUGGUACCACCAAAGGUAACUUUAGGAAUGGUCACUACAAUGAAUAUGAACAAACAAAAAAUGUAUUAAGGAAAAAGUCAAAGACUAUAUUGGUUCUUUCAAACCUCUAUAUCGGUCUGCAUCAUCUAAAGAAACUGAGCAGUUGAUGGAGUCAACUACACCGCGUAUUGAGAAAUAGAAGCAAAAUUUUAGAUAUGAAGAAUAAAUUCUGUUGAGGAGGUCGAAGUCUUCGAUGUGUCAUCCGUUGGGUAGCCGACUGGACCCACAACAAUUGAAUGUAUUGUCCCUCAGGGAGGGUUUUGUCUCCUGUGCUCUGUCAAGAGCCAGCGUGCCAUGAGCGGCUGCCCUGAGGGCUUGGUUCACAGAGUUGGGAGUGCCUCUAUUGUAUGUGGAUGUACGGCCACGCACCAAAGCAACGUGAGCAUCUUGCCUUUGGUGGGGUUCGAACCCCUGACCUAUGGCAUAUAGGUCACUUGUUGGGGAGACAAAACCCUCCCUGAGAGGCAAUACUUUCAGUUGUUGGGGGUCCGAUCGGGUGCCCAGCAGACAUACUUCGAAGACUUUUCCCGAAGGAGUCGACCCCCCUCAACAGAUUGAAGUUAAACAGAAAGAAAGUGAUGUGAAUGAGGAGAAGAAUUAUUCCAAAGAUGUCAAGAGAGCAUCAGCUAUGGAGAAUGCUUGACAAGCAUUCAAAAGGCAACCAAUCUUGGAACCCUAUUUUAUAAAAUAAAAUAAAAUAAAAAAGCAACAUUCAAGCCGAAAAUUAGUAAAAAGAGGAUGGUGCAGAAGAAUUUUUUCUACUUCAAAUGAUAAACUGAAAUCAGUGGCUAUUUAAAGUGAUGGCCACUGUUCCAUUGGUAGCUCUGGUCUCUGGAUAUUUCUAGGUGAAGCUAAAUCUUGCCUAAGCAUAACAACAGGGGCCAAAGAAAUAGUGGACCUAAUGGGAGUGUGCUGGGAUGAAACAAAGAAGCUGAGCUCUUGUGAUCAUAUAGUUACAGGGUUGAUGUUGAUGCUGCCACUGCUACUGAGAUAAAUGAAGAUGGCAACAAUUCUGAAAAGUUAAGACCACGGUCUGAGAAUUCAGAGGAUCCUCAAGACUCUAUAGGACCUUUUGGACAGGUAAUUAAAGUCAUAAUCAUGGUAGGCUU